UGGAAAUGUGGACAAAAAUAGAUUGUAGAGAUUUCCCAGUGACGACUGUUAAUCCAACUCUGAUCCAAACACUGUC